AGGACAAAGGCAUGAGAGCAGUGAAAUUAAGCUGACUGGUUUGUGUUUAGUUGGCGCUCUACGCUACAGGGCAAGAGGCUAAAUGCAGAUGGCAAAGCGGGCAGCAAGGACUGAGAGAGCCUCAUAUUAACGCUUGUGCAGUGGAUUGAAACCAGACGAACUCCAGCGGUAUCGUCUUUCACUUUCCAUGCAACUUUGUCUCUUGGAUUGUUUGUGAUUGCAUCAGCUUCUGUUUUCCAUCCUACCUCCAUUUUGAAGGACAUUUUGAUUUUCACAGAGUAUUUAAUCUGAGUGGCAGCAACCGAGUGCCUCAUCCAGAGCUGCAUCCGAACAUAAAGACGGUUAUUCUGCCACUUCCUCUGCUUCACUGCUGCUGCUCAUCAAACAUAGCUCAAGUAGAAUACAAGAGAGGGAGAGAUGAGGAGGAAUUUAUGACUGACCCAAUGAAGUAAACCUUUACAGCUGAAGAGUGUGAAAUAAGAUCUCAAGAAGAUUAAAAAAAAGAGAGUAUUUAACUGAGCCAGAGCAAAAUGUAACAAGUAGCUUCUUAUAUAAACUAUCUAUUCAUACCACUAGAACAGUGAACUUCCUCCACAGCUGCGACCUUAACUGUAUUUUAUUUGUCUUUUAUGCGACAGGCCACCAUAAUGUAGUGCUUUAUUGUGGGGUGGAAGAUAAAUCAUAAGGUUUUCAACAUUUCUCACAAAUAAAAAUCUGAGGAGGGUGACUGGUGCAUGCAUACAUCCUCUUUUAAUCUUUCACCCUUGUAUAAAAGUACAGUGGAGUCACUUAACUAGCAAAUAUUGUCUACCUGUCUAUAAUUUAGUCUCAGCAAAGAUACAGCUGAUCUGAUCUGAAGGUCUCGUAGGGUUGUUUGAACACGCUGGUGAAAAAAACAUCUUCAUGGUGAUGAGGAAGAACACAACGGCUGUCAGUGAUAAAGUUGUGGAGAAGCUUAAAGCAGAUUUGGGUUAUUAAACAGCAUCCCAAGCUUUGAACAUCUCAAGGAGCACUGCUUGACCUGUCACUCAAAACUAUUAAAAGCAUGGCACAAGUGCAAACUUGACAUCUCACCACCUACACUGACAAGCCUAGCAAGGAGGGUAUUAAUUAGAGUCAAUUAAGAGACCAGUUACUCUGGAGUAGCUGAAGACAGGCACCGCUCUUAACUAAUGCACAAAAAUCAGGCACAACCUUAUUAUAAAAUUGAAACCCACACAAACAAUAUAGGUAUAAAUAGCCUCUUAUAAGACUACAUACAGUCAUAAUUUUAUCACUACACUGUUGUACACUGUUAAGAAUAGCUAUGUCAUCAGUAAUAUCUAAUUGCAGUACAGUGAAGGUGCAAGUAUGAGUUUUGCACUACACAAAGGGUCUUAAUGGAACAGUGGUGAUAAGAAAGAAAUGGUUGGGGGGGGAAAAUCAGGAAGAAUCUCCCCUCUGCAGUUUGCUGCAAGUCAUUUAUUGGACACAGCAAACAUGUAGAACAAGGUGCUCAACUACACUACAUUCAAAAGGCAAUGAAUGAAAUGAAGCUAAGGGUGCACUCUAGACUCCACCCUGAACAUACUAAAUCCACAGUGAAACAUGGUGGUGGCUGUAUCAUUCUCUGGAGAUGCUUUUCUGCAACAAGGACAGAGAAGAUGGGCACAACUGAUGGGAAGAUAGAGUUAAAUACUGUACAGAAAACCUGUUGGAGGCUCCAAAAGACUGAUCUCCUACUGAACGAUGAUUGUAAAAAGGUUCACGAGUCAUGAGUACUUUUUCAAUAAAUUGUGUGCAUGUAGCAGUAUCAAGAACAACAACACCACUUUCUAAAAAUGAAUAAAUAAAUAAAACCCGUCAAUCGGUCAAAACAAACACUUCCUCAGCUCUUUACUCUCUACUCUCAGAUAUGAUCUCGUUUUUUAGAGUCUAUAAUAAUUACCAUCAAGUAGAGGAGACCAUUUGGUCCUCAACAAAAAAGAGGUUUGGGUGUUGAUUGCGCCUCAUGUAAUACAGGAAAUAUCACUUAUAUAUAUAACUAGUUACUACCUACCUCCAAAUAACAAAGAGAACAAAAAUGCAUAUUUUUCUCAUUCUCACCAUAGACAGCAAAUAUAAACAUUUAAUAAAAGCAAUCUGUUGUCUUGUAAUUAGCAAGACGACAUUAUAGAUUCCAUAAAAGCAGCUGUUUUUAUUGGGCAUCAUUGCAGUUUGUGAGAACACGUAAAAUUUGGAGUUACAGAACAAUAUCUAAGCCAGAACCAUAAUCCAUCAGCUGUCAGUCUUGUUGAAAUGUAGGCCGUCGUGCCAAGCAGGCAGGGGCUCAUUAACGUCUGUGACACCUCCACCACAGGUAAUAGAUGACUGGAAGGAGUGACAUAUUUCCUCCUAUGUGUGAGCUUCAUGCGUGCAUACAGCCUUGUGUGUAAAGGGCAAAGGGAUUAGUCACACCCCUGUUUAAAGCCAAGCAAGGCUGUAUUAAUGAUGACAUGCCUGGCAAGCUUUUACAGGCUUUUUUUUUUUUUUUCAUGUAACAGGAAGUAAAUAAUGGGUCAAAUCAGACAGGGCCUCCAACAGCCUCUGUCAAAGACGGGAGAUUGUGGGAAUAGUCACACCAUUACUGCAGACACAAUCACAUAAAGAUAAACGUAAAACAAAAAACAAAACGAGCCAACAAAGAGGAGAAGAGCAGAGAUCCAAGAAAGAAAACAAACACUGAAAACAGCAUAAAGUGGAGAAAAGACGAGGAAGAUAGAUUGAGAGGGAGAUAGGGAUCAGGUAUAGGGGACAUUAGCUUGGGGGCGGAGGAAAUUAAGUCUGAGAAUUGAUUGGUGUCCUGUGAUAACAGCGGUUAGCUGUGCACUGUAGCAGCAGUUCCUCAGAGAGGCAGGAAAACAUCAGAGAGGAGGAUAACAGGCUAUCUGUUGUUUUGACAGGCCAAUUAGGUUGCUCUGUCAGGGACACAGCAAAAACCAAACACCCUGCAAACAUACAUGUCUUUCAUAUAUAUCGGUAUGACUUUUAGUGAGAAAUGUACUCUUUCUAUUCAAGUCUUUAAACAUCCAUAUGCUCAUUUCAAAGUUAGGUCAUUUUCUUAGUGUUUGUCACUUUUCUGUAAUGGAAACCUCUGUCCUUUGUUGUCUAACACAAAGGUUUUAGACUAAAACAGGACUUUGCAUUGUUUGGUAGUAACUUUUUGUCAAAAACAGCCACAGUUAAUAGUAGCAUUAUUCUUCUCAUAGCCAAAACAAUAAUGUUUCAUUCCUGACAAAAAAUACUUUACUUUUGAGACACAUCAAGAAAGCACAAAAUCUCCUUUUCUUUGAGAAUUUAUUCAACAUUCAUCCCAUAGCAUUACCCUCUGACUGACUGUCCAUGUGUCCUUCAAGCCUAAAGUGCAGGGAGUUGUGGUUGAAACACACAUAAUCAGUUUUUCUGACAAACCAUCCACAGCGGAUCACCUUGCUCUCUUCAGCAAACGGAUAGAUUACUUUGUUUUCCAUCCGCUGCUGAGCACACAUUUUAACCUGUUCCUAAUAUUUUAGCACAAAGAAGUGAAACUGUUUUAUUAUUGAAAAGUGAUCCUGAUUAUCAAUUUAACAGGCUGGUCCAUCUGUGCUCAUUGCUAGUGGAUGACUGCACAAAUGGCACAUUGCAUUUAGAAAUGAAUAUAUUUUUACACAUUCAUUUGCGCAAUGUUUGGAUGUUAAAACAGCUGACAUAACUGUGCUCUAAUACUUCUUAUCAAUUGUUAAUAUUAAACAGACAUAUUUAUAGAAUAUAAUCGUCAGUCAGUUAAGAUCUGUGCAAUGGAAGACGAGAUUUACUGGCUAAUAUUCCCUGAAAUGGGUCAAGUUCCCAAAAACUGAUCCUCCACAUUACAUGGUUGUAAUAUAGACUUGCUAAAAACCUGAGAGGUUUCCGAUGUGACAUAUGUAAAAAAAAAAAAGAAAAAAAAUUCUUAGAUGUUACAAAUCUGGCUUUGUGGGUUAAAAAUGACUCUAAAUGCAUCGGCUAUGAUCACUGAUUUUUACACAACUUUUACA